rnacentral:rRNA from 1 species
GGAUCAUUAUAGAGUUUUCUAAACUCCCAACCCAUGUGAACUUACCAUUGUUGCCUCGGCAGAAGCUGCUCGGUGCACCCUACCUUGGAACGGCCUACCCUGUAGCGCCUUACCCUGGAACGGCUUACCCUGUAACGGCUGCCGGUGGACUACCAAACUCUUGUUAUUUUAUUGUAAUCUGAGCGUCUUAUUUUAAUAAGUCAAAACUUUCAACAACGGAUCUCUUGGUUCUGGCAUCGAUGAAGAACGCAGCGAAAUGCGAUAAGUAAUGUGAAUUGCAGAAUUCAGUGAAUCAUCGAAUCUUUGAACGCACAUUGCGCCCAUUAGUAUUCUAGUGGGCAUGCCUGUUCGAGCGUCAUUUCAACCCUUAAGCCUAGCUUAGUGUUGGGAGCCUACUGCUUUUGCUAGCUGUAGCUCCUGAAAUACAACGGCGGAUCUGCGAUAUCCUCUGAGCGUAUUAAAUUUUUAUCUCGCUUUUGACUGGAGUUGCAGCGUCUUUGGCCGCUA